rnacentral:lncRNA from 1 species
AUAUCAUUCAUACCACUUGGGAAAGUAUCGACAUCCUGUUUUGAAAUCCAACAAGAAGACACUGAUAGUUAUAAUGGUGUUAUGCUUUAUGGCAGUACACAAGGUCACUCAAGGGCUGCUCAGACGUGAAUUCUCAUACCACCAGGGAAUAUAACAACAUCUUAUGUUGAAAAUUAACUAGAAGAUACUGAUAAUUAUUAUGGUUUUAUGCAAUAUGCAAGUUCAGCAGAUCACUCAAAGCAUGAUCAGACAUGAAUUAUCAUUCAUACCACUUGGGAAAGUAUCGACAUCCUGUUUUGAAAUCCAACAAGAAGACACUGAUAGUUAUAAUGGUGUUAUGCUUUAUGGCAGUACACAAGGUCACUCAAGGGCUGCUCAGACGUGAAUUCUCAUACCACCAGGGAAUAUAACAACAUCUUAUGUUGAAAAUUAACUAGAAGAUACUGAUAAUUAUUAUGGUUUUAUGCAAUAUGCAAGUUCAGCAGAUCACUCAAAGCAUGAUCAGACAUGAAUGAUCAUUCAUACCACUUGGGAAAGUAUCGACAUCCUGUUUUGAAAUCCAACAAGAAGACACUGAUAGUUAUAAUGGUGUUAUGCUUUAUGGCAGUACACAAGGUCACUCAAGGGCUGCUCAGACGUGAAUUCUCAUACCACCAGGGAAUAUAACAACAUCUUAUGUUGAAAAUUAACUAGAAGAUACUGAUAAUUAUUAUGGUUUUAUGCAAUAUGCAAGUUCAGCAGAUCACUCAAAGCAUGAUCAGACAUGAAUGAUCAUUCAUACCACUUGGGAAAGUAUCGACAUCCUGUUUUGAAAUCCAACAAGAAGACACUGAUAGUUAUAAUGGUGUUAUGCUUUAUGGCAGUACACAAGGUCACUCAAGGGCUGCUCAGACGUGAAUUCUCAUACCACCAGGGAAUAUAACAACAUCUUAUGUUGAAAAUUAACUAGAAGAUACUGAUAAUUAUUAUGGUUUUAUGCAACAUGCAAGUUCAGCAGAUCACUCAAAGCAUGAUCAGACAUGAAUGAUCAUUCAUACCACUUGGGAAAGUAUCGACAUCCUGUUUUGAAAUCCAACAAGAAGACACUGAUAGUUAUAAUGGUGUUAUGCUUUAUGGCAGUACACAAGGUCACUCAAGGGCUGCUCAGACGUGAAUUCUCAUACCACCAGGGAAUAUAACAACAUCUUAUGUUGAAAAUUAACUAGAAGAUACUGAUAAUUAUUAUGGUUUUAUGCAACAUGCAAGUUCAGCAGAUCACUCAAAGCAUGAUCAGACAUGAAUGAUCAUUCAUACCACUUGGGAAAGUAUCGACAUCCUGUUUUGAAAUCCAACAAGAAGACACUGAUAGUUAUAAUGGUGUUAUGCUUUAUGGCAGUACACAAGGUCACUCAACGGCUGCUCAGACGUGAAUUCUCAUACCACCAGGGAAUAUAACAACAUCUUAUGUUGAAAAUUAACUAGAAGAUACUGAUAAUUAUUAUGGUUUUAUGCAAUAUGCAAGUUCAGCAGAUCACUCAAAGCAUGAUCAGACAUGAAUUAUCAUUCAUACCACUUGGGAAAGUAUCGACAUCCUGUUUUGAAAUCCAACAAGAAGACACUGAUAGUUAUAAUGGUGUUAUGCUUUAUGGCAGUACACAAGGUCACUCAAGGGCUGCUCAGACGUGAAUUCUCAUACCACCAGGGAAUAUAACAACAUCUUAUGUUGAAAAUUAACUAGAAGAUACUGAUAAUUAUUAUGGUUUUAUGCAAUAUGCAAGUUCAGCAGAUCACUCAAAGCAUGAUCAGACAUGAAUUAUCAUUCAUACCACUUGGGAAAGUAUCGACAUCCUGUUUUGAAAUCCAACAAGAAGACACUGAUAGUUAUAAUGGUGUUAUGCUUUAUGGCAGUACACAAGGUCACUCAAGGGCUGCUCAGACGUGAAUUCUCAUACCACCAGGGAAUAUAACAACAUCUUAUGUUGAAAAUUAACUAGAAGAUACUGAUAAUUAUUAUGGUUUUAUGCAAUAUGCAAGUUCAGCAGAUCACUCAAAGCAUGAUCAGACAUGAAUUAUCAUUCAUACCACUUGGGAAAGUAUCGACAUCCUGUUUUGAAAUCCAACAAGAAGACACUGAUAGUUAUAAUGGUGUUAUGCUUUAUGGCAGUACACAAGGUCACUCAAGGGCUGCUCAGACGUGAAUUCUCAUACCACCAGGGAAUAUAACAACAUCUUAUGUUGAAAAUUAACUAGAAGAUACUGAUAAUUAUUAUGGUUUUAUGCAAUAUGCAAGUUCAGCAGAUCACUCAAAGCAUGAUCAGACAUGAAUGAUCAUUCAUACCACUUGGGAAAGUAUCGACAUCCUGUUUUGAAAUCCAACAAGAAGACACUGAUAGUUAUAAUGGUGUUAUGCUUUAUGGCAGUACACAAGGUCACUCAACGGCUGCUCAGACGUGAAUUCUCAUACCACCAGGGAAUAUAACAACAUCUUAUGUUGAAAAUUAACUAGAAGAUACUGAUAAUUAUUAUGGUUUUAUGCAAUAUGCAAGUUCAGCAGAUCACUCAAAGCAUGAUCAGACAUGAAUUAUCAUUCAUACCACUUGGGAAAGUAUCGACAUCCUGUUUUGAAAUCCAACAAGAAGACACUGAUAGUUAUAAUGGUGUUAUGCUUUAUGGCAGUACACAAGGUCACUCAAGGGCUGCUCAGACGUGAAUUCUCAUACCACCAGGGAAUAUAACAACAUCUUAUGUUGAAAAUUAACUAGAAGAUACUGAUAAUUAUUAUGGUUUUAUGCAAUAUGCAAGUUCAGCAGAUCACUCAAAGCAUGAUCAGACAUGAAUUAUCAUUCAUACCACUUGGGAAAGUAUCGACAUCCUGUUUUGAAAUCCAACAAGAAGACACUGAUAGUUAUAAUGGUGUUAUGCUUUAUGGCAGUACACAAGGUCACUCAAGGGCUGCUCAGACGUGAAUUCUCAUACCACCAGGGAAUAUAACAACAUCUUAUGUUGAAAAUUAACUAGAAGAUACUGAUAAUUAUUAUGGUUUUAUGCAAUAUGCAAGUUCAGCAGAUCACUCAAAGCAUGAUCAGACAUGAAUUAUCAUUCAUACCACUUGGGAAAGUAUCGACAUCCUGUUUUGAAAUCCAACAAGAAGACACUGAUAGUUAUAAUGGUGUUAUGCUUUGUACGUGUAUUGGUUAUUGAAUGUUAAUGAUAGUAAAUUAAUAUGAGUGAACCAAAAUGUUAGUGCCAUGAAAUGCUGACCAUUAGAUUAAGCAAAUGAUUCAAAUUAUCUAUUAUUAACUUUCAUAUAUUUCAUUUAUGCUUCUACUUGAUAAACACUAUUAAACAUGUUUUUAUAUGAUAAUUUAGACAAAUGUAACAAAUUCUAAUUCAAUUCAUAAGUUUGUAUAGCCAAUUGAACUGUAGCAUUACUAUAUUCUUUCACUUUGUCAAACUGACGUAUGCUGAACAACAUUUCGCGUUUUUUAAGUUAUUUAUAGUUAUAAUUCAUAAGCAAUCAACAUAAUAAUAUAAGUAUAAAGCAAUCAUAAAUAUAGUAUUCAUAAACUAUUCAGGAUAUUAUUAGGGACUAGGGUAUGUAUAGAUUAGGGUGUCCAGACGUCCCGUUUUAUAUGGGAAAGUACCGUAUUUCAAAAGUUUGUCCCGUUGUCCCGACAUAUGCUUCUGGGUUGCUAUAUUGUCCUGUUUUUUAAAAAUAUGACUAUUUUCAUAAAAUAGAAAAUAUGUAAAUAAAAUUAAAGAUAAUAUCUUCAUCUAU